rnacentral:lncRNA from 1 species
CGGGCGAGGACCGAGCCGGAGGACACCGACGAGGGCAUGUCGGCACACCCGGCAUCCGACUCCGACUCCGACGCGCUGUUCGACGCCCUCCUCUUCGCCGACCAGUUCGCCUACUUCAACGGCGGCGCCUACGAGUCCCUCGACAGCCUGUUCAGCGCCGACGCCGUGCAGAGCUCCACGGCCACCGCCGCGGGCGAGGCGGCCAUGGGGCUCUGGAGCUUCGACGACGACUGCCUCGUCGACGAGUGCAGCCUGUCGUUCUAGAUCCUGUUCCGUGUGCGUCCCUUCAUGCCAUGCGAUGGUGUGUGUGUAAAUAGAGUAGUUUCGAUCUUGUGGAAUCCGUUCGUUCGUCGUCGCUUCUUGGAUCAGCAAGUGAUGGUGGGUACUGUGUAAGAGUU